GUGUCUGUGUAUGUGCGGAUGGAUAUGUGUGUGUGUACACCUGUCCUUUUUUCCCCCUAAGGUAAGUCUUUCCGCUCCCGGGAAAAACAAAGAUUCCAAGACUUACCAAGCGGGAGUCUUUGCUUUUAAUAUAUAUAUUAAAAACAAAGAUACCAAGAUGAAAGGAUAUUGAAAUAUGUCUGCUUGUGUCUGUGUAUGUAUGGAUGGAUAUGCGUGUGUAUGUGUGUGCGUGAGUAUAUACCUAUCCUUUUUUCCCCCUAAGGUAAGUCUUUCUGCUCCCGGGAUUGGAAUGACUCCUUAUCCUCUCCUUUAAAACCCGCAUCCUUUCAUCUUUCCUUUUCCUUCCCUCUUUCCUGACGAAGCAGCCGCCGGUUGCGAAAGCUCAAAUUCUGUGUGUGUGUUUGUGUGUUUUAUUCAUUGUGCCUAUCUACCGGCACUUUCCCGCUUGGUAAGUCUUGGAAUCCUUGUUUUUAAUAUAUUUUUCCCAUGCUUUCUAUUUUAUUUACAUCAUCAUUAUAUAUAUAUGACCAGAAUUGCCUUUGCCUCUGAAGCAUAGACAAUGAAUUCUUAUGGGUAUUGUAUCUUGAGGACAAAUUUGGGACAAGUCACAAAAAGCCUGUGUUUUUCUCCUGUUUAGACACAUCGGUGUAGGCUGGCAUAUGUUUAUGGUGUCGGUUAAAAGUAUUGGAAAAUACAGUUUAAAACUGUAAUAAAGAUUACUGUGUCUCUUGUACUUACUUGAUAAGCUCCAAACACUCACAUCGCAAAAGACUUGGUAAUAUCGAGAAAUCAUCAGGACAACAACGAGAAAUCAUCAGGACAACAACAAUCUGCCACACAGAAAAUUUGUUUCGGCCAUUGACCUUACUGCAACUAAAAUAAAGAAAUUGGUUGUGACACAGUUCAUUCAUCUGCUUAUUUGUAUUCUAUGUUAACAAAGACUUUAGAUGUUUAUGACUCAUGACACCCAGAUAAUCACAGUCAGUACUUACUAAGUGUUACAUGGAAAUGUCCGUCAGACAUUUAACAUACUAAUGAUGGAAAACUUAAUAAAUUACAGUUAAUAGAAGUGGUAGUGCAGGUGCCAAUUCUCACUCAUUUGGUCCACUGCAAUUCAGGUUCGUGGUUAGAUUUGCAGUAAAAUGAAUUAAGAAGGGGAUGGUUGUGAUCCUUCAUUAAUACAUGUAGCAUUAGCUCAUGCUAAUUCCAGCCUUUCCUCUGUGAUAUUCUGAUGUUAUCAAUAAAUGAUGACAGAUUAUAAUCCAUAUGACUUGUUCUGAAGAGGAUGGAUAUUACCAUUAAAACCUUGGAUUUCACUGCAGAAUGAAACAGCUAAAAUGCAGAGGAUAACUGUGUGGUACUGUUUCUCUCACUAUUAUCAUCAUUUUAGAUUCCAGGUAGCACUUCCACUUCCAUAUUAACAUUUUUAUUUGUAGAUGUUUUUAAUGUUUGGAUAUCUUGCUGAUUUUCUUCUUUGGUGUGCUGUUCAGUUUGUGGAUUGAAUGCUUACAUUUUACUUUGUGCAGAGUACCUCAGUGGUGGCGCUGUGGUGCAUGACUUUUCCGGGCAGUUGCUGGCGGGCUGUCCUCGUUGUGGCCGCCAGUACCCUAGCAAACGGUCACUCGUCAGGCAUGUUCGUUAUGUGUGUGGAAAGGAACCGCAGCUUCAGUGUCCAUACUGUCCCCACAGGAGCAAGUUUGCCAGUAACCUCAACCAACACAUACUGGCAAUCCAUCCUGGAAGAUCGCUCACUCAGUGGAAAUUCCCACGCAGCAAGCCUGUCCAUUUUAUGCUGUGAACUCUGGCUUACAGCUUUCAAUAUCACUGGAUGAAAAGAAUUGGUAAUGUGAGUGUGAAAUACAUCUCACCAGCAGUUUUCUCCAGCAAGGCCCUGAAGCAGGAAAAUAGUGACUUUCAUAUGCAAAUUGCACAAAACUGUUGCCCACGGUGUGGAAAAGUUUACGGUAACAAGGGUAACCUUAUGCGACACCUCAAGUUUGAGUGUGGUGUGGCACCGAUGUUUAGUUGUCCAUAUUGCCAGACACGAUGGAAGCGUAAGGAUAAUAUGGAAGUGCACAUUAGGACUUUACACAUGAGGGAGAGUAUUUAGUUGUUAGAAUGUCAGAAAGUAUUCUCUGUAUCUUCCAUAAUAUUUGUACCUUUGUGAAGACUCAUGAGAUUUAUAUUUUCAUGAAAGACAGUGGUAAUGGAAGAUUAAUCUAAUUGGUUGGUUGGUUGGUUUGUUUGUUUGUUGGAUUGUGUUGGUGAAUGAUUGUGCUUCCAAUUGUAAGUUAAGAACUACAUGCAUGAGUGAUGCUUUCAUUCAGCAAUGUCUUUCAGACAAUUGGCAAAGAUCUCUCUGUGGUGAAGGAUUAGUUACACAUUAGUGAGCAUAGUGCCAAAUUUUUGUCAGGUUCCUGAACAUAAUAAUGGUUACAAAACUAUUAAGACAAGUUGGGAAUUAUAUAUCUGGAUCUCAGUGAACACAUAACAUAACUGGUUACACAUGAAGAUUUUGUUUCAGAGCUUAAGUAGAAUGUUUUGUCCAAAUAAACAUCAGUCUUGUUGUGUGUCAAGCUUUUAUACGUAUGUCUAAGCAUUGCACAUUAUUUACUCUGAAUAUUGUUAAAUCUUUUCAUAUGAUAACAAACUUCAUGUGAGAUUCAGUUUGUAAUAGGUAGUUGCUUUUUUUUAAAUAAAAUAAUUUGUUAUUUGAUAAA